AGACCACAGUGUAGUUACAGCUCAUAUCAUUACAGAGGAAACUGGCAGUGGUGAAGCCGUUCCUACGAGUCAGAGACAGGAAAUAUAAAGACCAAGUUCAGUUUUACUUGAUCCAGGCAGGCAGAGUCAGAACAGCAGGUAAUAAUGCUGCAUUUGACACAUGAAGUUGGAUUUUCCCAGUUUCCAGUCGUAAAUUCCAACUUGAACGCCCCCUUAAGGAGACAGAGUGUUACACACUUCUCUGCGCUUCCAUUUCAGCUUUUACCAAAACUUCAUAGUGACGGCGUCUGCCCCCCCGACCAUUUAAAUUAAUUAAAUCAAAGAUAAACUGAAGAGGAGCUGUGCAUAAAACUGUAAUAAAAGUUAAAACCACUGCUGUAAUAGUAUAAAAGAAAUUAAAGGUGUAAAUGUAUAAAAAAUAACAGAAUAUGAUGCAGUAUUUAGCUGCAAUUUUUGGACAAUGCACGUUUGUUUUUUCUAUAUUUAAAUUGCAAAUAAACGUUUCUCAAAGCA